rnacentral:rRNA from 1 species
AACGAACGCUGGCGGCGUGGAUAAGACAUGCAAGUCGAACGAUCACUAUUGGGUAGCAAUAUUCGGUAGUGGGAGUGGCGCAAGGGUGCGUAACACGUGGGUAAUUUGCCGUAAAGUCUGGGAUAACUUGCUGAAAGGCGAGCUAAUACCGGAUGUGAUUGCUGGAGGGCAUCCUCUGGCACUUAAAGUCGGGGACCGUAAGGCCUGACACUUUUCGAUAAGCCCGCGGCCUAUCAGCUAGUUGGUGAGGUAACGGCUCACCAAGGCUAAGACGGGUAGCUGGUCUGAGAGGACGACCAGCCUCACUGGAACUGAGACACGGUCCAGACACCUACGGGUGGCAGCAGUCGAGAAUUUUUCUCAAUGGGGGAAACCCUGAAGGAGCGACGCCGCGUGGGGGAUGAAUGGCUUCGGCCCGUAAACCCCUGUCAUUUGCGAUCAAACCUUACGACCUAACACGUCGUGAGCUGAUAGUAGCGGAAGAGGAAGGGACGGGCUAACUCUGUGCCAGCAGCC